GGAAGCGUGGCUGAGAGGCCGAAAGCACUCGGUUGCUAACUGAGCGUAGGGGAACCCUACCGUGGGUUCGAAUCCCACCGCUUCCGCCA
rnacentral:tRNA from 1 species